rnacentral:rRNA from 1 species
AGUGAACGCUGGCGGUAGGCCUAACACAUGCAAGUCGAACGGCAGCACAGUAAGAGCUUGCUCUUACGGGUGGCGAGUGGCGGAUGGGUGAGGAAUACAUCGGAAUCUACUUUUUCGUGGGGGAUAACGUAGGGAAACUUACGCUAAUACCGCAUACGACCUACGGGUGAAAGCAGGGGAUCUUCGGACCUUGCGCGAUUGAAUGAGCCGAUGUCGGAUUAGCUAGUUGGCGGGGUAAAGGCCCACCAAGGCGACGAUCCGUAGCUGGUCUGAGAGGAUGAUCAGCCACACUGGAACUGAGACACGGUCCAGACGCCUACGGGAGGCAGCAGUGGGGAUUAUUGGACAAUGUGCGCAAGCCUGAUCCAGCCAUACCGCGUGGGUGAAGAAGGCCUUCGGGUUGUAAAGCCCUUUUGUUGGGAACGAAAAGCAGCAGGUUAAUACCCCGCUGUUCUGACGGUACCCAAAGAAUAAGCACCGGCUAACUUCGUG